CCUAUCUCAUUUCAUCAAUUCACACUCUCUCAGCCUCGAAAGAGAGAGCCAAGUCUCUUCAUUCUCAAACUAGGUUUGCCUCCUAGGAACGUCUCACGCUGCCACCAUCCGACCAGCCANANCUUCCAUCCGGCCAGUUCGAGGCGUUACCGGCGACAGUAAGCGUCACCGGAGUUGNUGNCGGCCACGGAGUCAGACCCAUUCCUCAAGUUCCUCGCCGCGCNCGAGAGAGGGACGUCCUAUCCUUCCGCNAUUCGCCCCAUCUGCCGCCACAAUCUCCGAUCAGAAGGGCGCUGCGAGGGGGCUGUCCACGGCGUCACCGGCGACACCAAAGCCGCUGCCAGCCGCAGCGUCGAAUCGCCAUUCUCCCCUCCUUCUUUGCUCUUUCGUACUAGCCGUCGGGGGUUUUCUUCCCUCGAAUAUCGUCUGCCACCACCUCUCUGUCACUGCCGUGGCAAGUCAGGAUACCACCAAUACCACUGUCCACCAUCGAGACCAUCGUCGGCCAUUGCUCCAACUCACGGCCACCGUGAGUCACUGUCAAUGAGAACCCUUUUUCCCUCUGUGGAUGAAACUUGGUGGUGGGAUCAGGGAUUCGUGAAGAAGAAUGGAGAUGAGUUUGUGGAUUGGAGUUGAAUGAAAAAGGGUUCUUUACGCUUCUUUGUGGAUUGGAUGAAAAAAUGGAGCUUGGUGUCGAGUGGUUGAAGGAAUGGUGGACGGUGCAGGGGAGUUGGGUUGGUUUUGGUUUUGUGUUUCUAUUGCUGAAGGAGUUAACUGCUAUGUUGGUGGCUUGAGGUGAACAAAAGCAAGGGAACCUAGUUUCAUCAUCUGGCUUGGUUUGUCAUGGNUGUGAUUGAUUCAGGUUCCUGGAUUGUUUCUCUCUUCUUGCAGGAAAAAAGGCAUUGGGGAUUUUGGGAAACUGAGAGCAAAGUAUAUCAAGGGGAUUAAGAUGGAGGUAUUAGGAAUGGAAUCGCGUAUGGAGGCCAUUUGUCAACGAAAAGGAAUCAAGGAAACGUGCUCAUGCGUUAAACGAUGACGGAGAAAGACAUAUAUUCAUACCACAGUAUCAUACUCAAAAUAGAGCAAUAUCAAGCAGUAUACAUUACAAUUAGCUUACAUGAAGAUCGUGCAACAAUGUGUGAUCAAGAUGCACUUACCUGGAGCUCUGAUUGCUUUGGUCGAUUCCCGUGAUGAUCUUCUCCCGGAGUGAUGCUUUCGUCUCUCCAGUGGUGAUGGUCUGUCCUAUUUUUUUUUGUUUUUCUGUAUCUGAAUGGAUGAAGAUGAUUCUGUUGAGUCCCCAGUCCUUAGAGCCCUUGAGAGCUCUGUGUGAGGUGAAUCAUAAUGGUGUUACUGAAUCCCUUUCUGGUAUGACCAGUGUGUAUCCCUUCUGACUUGGGAUUUCUUUUGUCUUUUUCCCUUAUUCAUGUGUUCAUUGUAUCAGCUGGAAGAAGGAUGUUCAAAAUAUCAUUUCCCCUUUGAUGUA